rnacentral:rRNA from 1 species
AUGAAAGCUAACAAACUUUGCAUUCCCGAGUCUUCCCUUCGUUUGUUACUUUUGCAAGAGGCUCAUGGAGGCGGACUCAUGGGACACUUUGGACGAGAUAAGACAUUCGCCACGCUCUCCAAAAACUACUUUUGGCCCAAGAUGUUUCGAGACGUCUCACGCUUCACCACCCGAUGCUCUACAUGUCGCAAAGCUAAGUCUAAAGCUCAAUCUCAUGGUCUUUACAUGCCUCUUCCUAUUCCUUAUCAACCUUGGGAAGACAUUAGCAUGGACUUUGUACUUGGUUUGCCUAGAACUCAAAAUGGAAAGGAUUCCGUGUUUGUUGUUGUGGACCGAUUUUCUAAGAUGGCACAUUUCAUUCCUUGCAACAAGAUAGACGAUGCUUCACAUGUUGCAAAUCUCUUUUGUAGGGAAAUCUUGCGCCUCCAUGGAGUACCAAAGACAAUCGUCUCCGACCGCGACGUCAAGUUCUUGAGUUACUUUUGGAAGACUCUAUGCGCCAAGCUCGGAAUCAAGCUCCUGUUCUCAUCCGCAUACCAUCCUCAAACCGACGGCCAAACGGAGGUGACGAACCGGACACUAUCCACUCUACUUCGCGUGUUGAUCAAGAAGAACAUCAAGGAGUGGGAGGCGUGUCUACCCAUCGCCGAGUACGCCUACAACCGUGCAAGACAUUCGACGACCGGCAAGUCCCCCUUCGAGGUCGUCUACGGCUUCAACCCAUUGUCCCCAUUGGACAUUCUACCACUUCCUCUACAAGAGAGAACCAACGACACAAGUGCUCGUGCAAGCUACAUCAAGAAGAUGCAUGAAGAUACAAGACACACCAUCGAGCGACAAGUACAACGACUAGCGACCAAGCUCAACGUCAACAAGCAACCCAUGGUCUUCAACAUUGGUGAUCUAGUGUGGCUACACCUUCGCAAGGAACGCUUCCCCAACGAACGCAAGUCCAAGCUUCUCCCUAGAGCCGAUGGACCAUUCAAGGUGCUAGCACGCUACAACGACAACGCCUACAAGAUUGAACUCCCACGAGACAAGUACAACGUGAGCGACAUCUUCAACGUCAAGGACCUCUCGCCUUUCCAUGGUGAUGAAGAUCUUGAUCCGAGGUCGGAUCCUUCCCAAGGGGGGGGGGGAGAUGAUGCGGAGCAUCCCUCGCUCAUCCCCAUGGACGUGUCUACAUCUUCCUCAACACCUCUUGGACCCAUGACAAGAGCUAGAGCCAAGGCUAUCGAAGAUAAGGUGAACUCGCUCCUCUCUGAACUUCCUCUUUCUACUCACGAGACAUGGCUACUACCUCAUUCGGAAACUCUAUGUGUAAUCAGGCACCUGGAGAUGAGCCAAGGAACAACCACUUGCAAGAGCCAAGACGGCGAGGACCCCAAGCAUGUUGAAGAAGAAGAAGAAAGGCUGCUGAAGCUACAGGCGUCCCGACGACCGACCAAGUCCGGACAUCCGACGAGUCCUAGGGCACGGACGACCGACACCCUCCGGACGUCCGGCCGCUGUACAAUGCCAACCAGGGCCAAAUCUACGGACGACCGACGCCCUCCGGACGUCCGGCCGCUGUACAAUGCCAACCAGAGCAGAAUCCACGGACGACCGACGCCUUCCGGACGUCCGACCAACGCCAUCCAGAGCCGAAUCUACGGACGACCGACGCCUUCCGGACGUCCGGACCGUCCUGAGCCUCCGGACGUCCGACGCCUUCCGGAUGUCCGACCCCUGAGUGACUAA